rnacentral:rRNA from 1 species
AGCGAACGCUGGCGGUAUGCUUAACACAUGCAAGUCGAGCGCGAAAGUGACUUCGGUCAUGAGUAGAGCGGCGGACGGGUGAGUAACACGUGGAUAAUCUGCCUUUAGGACUGGGAUAACCCUGGGAAACUAGGGCUAAUACCGGAUAAGACCACAGGUUCCAUGGAACCAGGGGUAAAAGGCGGCCUUCGGGCUGUCGCCGAAAGAUGAGUCCGCGUCCCAUCAGGUAGUUGGUGAGGUAACAGCUCACCAAGCCGAAGACGGGUAGCCGACCUUAGCGGGUGAUCGGCCACACGGGGACUGAGACACGGCCCCGACUCCUACGGGUGGCAG